UAUACCGUGAAACUGCGAAUGGCUCAUUAAAUCAGUUAUCGUUUAUUUGAUAGUACCUUACUACAUGGAUAACCGUGGUAAUUCUAGAGCUAAUACAUGCUAAAAACCUCGACUUCGGAAGGGGUGUAUUUAUUAGAUAAAAAACCAAUGCCCUCCGGGGCUCCUUGGUGAUUCAUAAUAACUUCUCAGAUCGCAUGGCCUUGCGCCGGCGACGGUUCAUUCAAAUUUCUGCCCUAUCAACUUUCGAUGGUAAGGUAUUGGCUUACCAUGGUUUCAACGGGUAACGGGGAAUUAGGGUUCGAUUCCGGAGAGGGAGCCUGAGAAACGGCUACCACAUCCAAGGAAGGCAGCAGGCGCGCAAAUUACCCAAUCCCGAUACGGGGAGGUAGUGACAAUAAAUACUGAUACAGGGCUCUUUAGGGUCUUGUAAUUGGAAUGAGUACAAUUUAAACCUCUUAACGAGGAACAAUUGGAGGGCAAGUCUGGUGCCAGCAGCCGCGGUAAUUCCAGCUCCAAUAGCGUAUAUUAAAGUUGUUGCAGUUAAAAAGCUCGUAGUUGAACCUUUGGCCUGGCUGGCGGGUCCGCCUCACCGCGUGCACUCGUCCGGCCGGGCCUUUUCUUCUGGAGAACCGCAUGCCCUUCACUGGGUGUGUUGGGGACCAGGACUUUUACUUUGAAAAAAUUAGAGUGUUCAAAGCAGGCCUUUGCUCGAAUACGUUAGCAUGGAAUAAUAGAAUAGGACGUGCGGUCCUAUUUUGUUGGUUUCUAGGACCGCCGUAAUGAUUAAUAGGGACAGUCGGGGGCAUCAGUAUUCAAUUGUCAGAGGUGAAAUUCUUGGAUUUAUUGAAGACUAACUACUGCGAAAGCAUUUGCCAAGGAUGUUUUCAUUAAUCAGUGAACGAAAGUUAGGGGAUCGAAGACGAUCAGAUACCGUCGUAGUCUUAACCAUAAACUAUGCCGACUAGGGAUCGGGCGGUGUUACUAUUUUGACCCGCUCGGCACCUUACGAGAAAUCAAAGUGU
rnacentral:rRNA from 1 species